AAAAGUCGUAACAAGGUUUCCGUAGGUGAACCUGCGGAAGGAUCAUUCUCGAUAUAAUAGCGUAAGCUAUCAAUAUUCACAUUGUGCACCGUUACUGCGCCAUUUGGUGGCUGAAAAGUCACCGAGUGUUUUUGCGCUAUUUUUGUUUUCUAUAUACCAUAAUUAAUACCAAAAAAACAUACCAAAAAUUAAAAUUACGACAACUUUUAGCAAUGGAUCUCUAGGCUCUCG
rnacentral:misc_RNA from 1 species